GACGAACGCUGGCGGCGUGCCUAAUACAUGCAAGUCGAACGAACCGCGACUAGGUGCUUGCACUUGGUCAAGGUGAGUGGCGAACGGGUGAGUAACACGUGGGUAACCUACCUCAUAGUGGGGGAUAACAGUCGGAAACGACUGCUAAUACCGCAUAGGACAUAGGAUCACAUGAUCCAGUGAGGAAAGGUGGCGCAAGCUAUCGCUAAGAGAUGGACCCGCGGUGCAUUAGCUAGUUGGUAGGGUAAAGGCCUACCAAGGCGAUGAUGCAUAGCCGACCUGAGAGGGUGAUCGGCCACAUUAGGACUGAGACACGGCCCAAACUCCUACGGGAGGCAGCAGUAGGGAAUCUUCCGCAAUGGACGCCAGUCUGACGGAGCAACGCCGCGUGCGUGAAGAAGGUCUUCGGAUCGUAAAGCUCUGUUGUUAGAGAAGAACAGCGCAUAGAGUAACUGUUAUGCGUGUGACGGUAUCUAACCAGAAAGCCACGGCUAACUACGUG
rnacentral:rRNA from 1 species